ACUCAAAGGAAUAGACGGGGGCCCGCACAAGUGGUGGAGCAUGUGGUUUAAUUCGAUGAUACGCGAGGAACCUUACCUAGGCUAGAAUGCGCGUGACCGCCUCAGAGAUGAGGCUUUCCUUCGGGACACAAAGCAAGGUGCUGCAUGGCCGUCGUCAGCUCGUGCCGUGAGGUGUUGGGUUAAGUCCCGCAACGAGCGCAACCCCUACUUUUAGUUGCCAGCGGGUUAAGCCGGGGACUCUAGAAGGACUGCCUGCGCAAGCAGUGAGGAAGGCGGGGACGACGUCAGGUCAUCAUGGCCCUUACGCCUAGGGCUACACACGUGCUACAAUGGCCGGUACAGAGGGUCGCUACUGCGCGAGCAGACGCCAAUCUCACAAAACCGGUCUCAGUUCGGAUCGGAGUCUGCAACUCGACUCCGUGAAGCUGGAAUCACUAGUAAUCGCGUAUCAGCAAUGACGCGGUGAAUACGUUCCCGGGCCUUGUACACACCGCCCGU
rnacentral:rRNA from 1 species